GAGUUUGAUCCUGGCUCAGGAUGAACGCUAGCGACAGGCUUAACACAUGCAAGUCGAGGGGCAGCGGGGCAGGAAGCUUGCUUUCUGCCGCCGGCGACCGGCGCACGGGUGAGUAACACGUAUGCAACCUGGCCGUGACAGAUGGAUAACCGGGAGAAAUCCCGCCUAAUACAGCAUGACGCCGGGAAGGGACAUCCCUUUCCGGCCAAAGGGGGCGACUCCGGUCACGGAUGGGCAUGCGGCGCAUUAGGUAGUUGGUGGGGCAACGGCCCACCAAGCCGACGAUGCGUAGGGGUUCUGAGAGGAAGGUCCCCACAUUGGAACUGAGACACGGUCCAAACUCCUACGGGAGGCAGCAGUGAGGAAUAUUGGUCAAUGGCCGGAAGGCUGAAACAGCCAAGUCGCGUGAGGGAAUAAGGCCCUACGGGUCGUAAACCUCUUUUGCCAGGGAGCAAUGCCGUCCACGUGUGGACGGAAGGAGAGUACCUGGAGAAAAAGCAUCGGCUAACUCCGUGCCAGCAGCCGCGGUAAUACGGAGGAUGCGAGCGUUAUCCGGAUUUAUUGGGUUUAAAGGGUGCGUAGGCGGCCUGCCAAGUCAGCGGUAAAAUUGCGGGGCUCAACCCCGUACAGCCGUUGAAACUGCCGGGCUCGAGUGGGCGAGAAGUAUGCGGAAUGCGUGGUGUAGCGGUGAAAUGCAUAGAUAUCACGCAGAACCCCGAUUGCGAAGGCAGCAUACCGGCGCCCGACUGACGCUGAGGCACGAAAGUGSGGGGAUCAAACAGGAUUAGAUACCCUGGUAGUCCGCACAGUAAACGAUGAAUGCUAGCUGUCCGGGGGGA
rnacentral:rRNA from 1 species